AAGUGGGAUCAUAUCAGCACUAAUGCACCGGAUCUCAUCAGAAGUCCGCAGAUAAGCAUGCUUGGGAGAGAGUUGUAUUAGGAUGGGUGACCUCAUGGGAAGUCCUCGUGUUGCACCUC
rnacentral:rRNA from 2 species